UACGGAGGGUGCAAGCGUUAAUCGGAAUUACUGGGCGUAAAGCGCACGCAGGUGGCUGAGUCAGUCGAUUGUGAAAGCCCUGGGCUUAACCUGGGAAUUGCAGUCGAUACUACUCAGCUAGAGUACGGUCGGGGUAGAAGGAAUUCCUGGUGUAGCGGUGAAAUGCGUAGAGAUCAGGAAGAACACCGGUGGCGAAAGCGUUCUGCUAGACCUGUACUGACACUGAGGGACGAAAGCUAGGGGAGCGAAUGGG
rnacentral:rRNA from 1 species